rnacentral:rRNA from 1 species
GACGAACGCUGGCGGCGUGCUUAACACAUGCAAGUCGAGCGAGUGAGUUCUUCGGAACGAUCUAGCGGCGGACGGGUGAGUAACACGUGGGCAACCUGCCUCAUAGAGGGGAAUAGCCUCCCGAAAGGGAGAUUAAUACCGCAUAAAAUUAUCGAGUGGCAUCACAUGAUAAUCAAAGGAGUAAUCCGCUAUGAGAUGGGCCCGCGGCGCAUUAGCUAGUUGGUGAGGUAACGGCUCACCAAGGCGACGAUGCGUAGCCGACCUGAGAGGGUGAUCGGCCACAUUGGGACUGAGACACGGCCCAGACUCCUACGGGAGGCAGCAGUGGGGAAUAUUGCACAAUGGGGGAAACCCUGAUGCAGCAACGCCGCGUGAGUGAUGAAGAUCUUCGGAUUGUAAAGCUCUGUCUUUGGGGACGAUAAUGACGGUACCCAAGGAGGAAGCCACGGCUAACUACGUGCCAGCCGCCGCGGUAA